UACGUAGGGUGCGAGCGUUAAUCGGAAUUACUGGGCGUAAAGCGUGCGCAGGCGGUUUUGUAAGCCAGAAGUGAAAUCCCCGGGCUUAACCUGGGAAUGGCAUUUGGGACUGCAAGGCUGGAGUGUGGCAGAGGAGACUGGAAUUCCUGGUGUAGCAGUGAAAUGCGUAGAUAUCAGGAGGAACACCGAUGGCGAAGGCAGGUCUCUGGGCAUUAACUGACGCUGAGGAGCGAAAGCAUGGGGAGCGAACAGG
rnacentral:rRNA from 1 species